rnacentral:pre_miRNA from 1 species
UUUUGUGGCUAGGACUCCGACCGUGAGUUGUGUGUGUGUUCACAUCACAGUCAGAGUUCUAGCUAUACGG